AUGAUAAAUCUUCGACAUAAAUUGCAUAUACUAUAAUAGCCAUAUUUCCUUGAAGGGAUCGAUAUAAUUUUCAAAACAAUUUGGCAAAAUUAUCUAGGCGAGUGCUCUGACUUUAAAUCAUGACAUGUUAAAUCUGACAAAAUGUCAAAAGUAUUGAAUUCCGUGAAUUUUAUCAGAUAUCCAAAACGAAUAUUGACGGAGAACCAAAAAAAGUAUCUGACCCAUCGAUAUGACCAUUUGGUUCCGAAGAAAUUGCUACCACUCUGGCACCAUCCAGCAGGAAGAAUAAUAUUUUGAACGAGAAGAAGAAGAAGAGUAACAUUCCAAAUC